rnacentral:lncRNA from 1 species
UUGAAUGUGAGAAACCGAUUUAGUUGAUCAGAGUAUAAUUUGCUUUUUUCCACUGCGCUUAGCUGUGGUGCAUCCAUGAUUUCUUUCAUUCGCUGCUCGGCAUCAUACAUGGCAUUUACAAGUGGUGGUUGUCGAUAAGACUGUUUUUGUAUAAACUUUUCAAUCUCACCGGGAAGUAUGUUGGUCUUGAGUCGUUGUUGAUCAUCUGUUGUUGGCUUUAAAUCCAACAUCAAAUAGCCGUGAGGUCGGCUCGUAGCAUCUUCAUAACUCCUCAUAAAUUCUUGUACUUUUCCGGGAUUUAUUUGCCUUGCAAGCAUAGAAAUUUGUUGUUUAUCUCUUGGUGACUUGAACAACACGAUAUAAUGGGCGUUUAGGCUGAUAUUUCUCAUUUCUUUGCCUUGAUGAAAUAUAUUUUGAACAAUAUAGAUGAUAGAUAAAUUGCGAUGAUGACUUCCUUUCGUAAAAAGAUCAGAAAUACGUUUAUCUUUGCCAGAUUGAGCCAUAAGGUCGUCCAAUACGAUCAAAUUCCGUUGCGAUACGUCCAAGUAAUCUGCGUUGUCGAUGUCUUCGGGGAUGCCUUGAUUAAACUCGAUUCCAGGCAUCGUUCUCAUCAUAUCAAAAUAGGAGGGUUGCCAUUGACCAUAACACCAAAUGAUACGUUGAGGAGCAGGACUUAUAGUUUUCUGUGCAUUCUCCAAGAGAGAUUUUACCCACACGGUUUUGCCGCUUUGGGUACACCCAGCUACGAUACAUGUGAAAGGAUGCUGCAAAACUGUAGAUCCUGCUGAGAUUUCAACUGGUUUGCUUUGAGCAUCUCCAUGGGUAUUCAAAGUAUGACGCUUGAGGUUGCCGCGUGUUGCAAAUACUUUGGCACAUAUAUUGCACGGAAAAGACAUGUUCACACCACGAACGUCUAGCUGGAAGUGAUAAUAAGUUGGCGUAUUCGUUCUAUAUAUAUUCAUUAAUGCAUCUAUCCAGUAUUAUUCUGUAUCUUUAUCUUCCUUAUCUUUCCUUAUCUUUAUCUUUAUAUUCUUUAUCUUCUUUAUCUUUAUCUUUAUCCUUAUCUUUAUCUUCCUUAUCUUUAUCCUUAUCUUUCUUAUCUUUAUCUUCUUUAUCCUUAUCUUUAUUUUCUUUAUCUUUAUUCUUAUCAUUAUCUUCCUCAUCCGUAUCUUUAUCUUUAUCCUCUUAUCUUUAUCUUCCUUAUCUUUAUCUUAAUCCUUAUCUUUAUCUUUAUCCUUAUCUUCCUUAUCUUUAUCUUCUUAUCUUCUUAUCUUUAUCUUCCUUAUCUUCCUUAUCUUUAUCCUUAUCUUUAUCUUCCUUAUCUUUAUCCUUAUCUUAAUCUUUAUGUUCC